GUCUGGCUGGCUCAGUGGGAGGAGCAUGUGACUCCUGAUCUCAGAGUCAUGAGUUCGAGUUUCAUGUUGGAUG
rnacentral:tRNA from 1 species